rnacentral:rRNA from 1 species
AGGAUGAACGCUGGCGGUCUGCUUAACACAUGCAAGUCGAACGGGCGUAGCAAUACGUUAGUGGCGGACGGGUGAGUAACGCGUGAGAAUCUACCUUCAGGACGGAGACAACAGUUGGAAACGACUGCUAACCCCGAUGUACUGAAAAGGCAAAUAUUUAUAGCCUGAAGAAGAGCUCGCGUCCGAUUAGCUAGUUGGAGAGGUAAAAGCUCACCAAGGCGACGAUCGGUAGC